rnacentral:tRNA from 1 species
GCGGAAGUGGCGGAAUUGGUAGACGCACCAGAUUUAGGUUCUGGCGCCGCAAGGUGUGAGAGUUCAAGUCUCUCCUUCCGCCCCA